GUCCAGUUGUACCCUUGGGCCGAGCUGCUCCCUAAGAAACCACGCCGAUGCGCUACCACCCACUCCUGCUCCGAUGAUAGCUACAUUGUACUUCUCAGCUGCCCCAGCUUCAGCUGGGUUCUUGAACCCAUCAACUCCGAUCAAAAGCAGACCAAAUAUUAUAGGGAUGCCCAACAUACAGCACCCCGAUCUGAUAACUUUACAGACAAGUAUCUUCAACAAUUAUAAUUAUACAGCACUUUCAUUCUCUCAUGAAAAUGGUAUCACGCAGCAGAUCUGACGCCAAGACUCGCAGUGAAACAAAUGCCACUUUUUAUGGUGCCGCCCUUGUUCGAGAGACAGAGCACCUUUCAGCUUGAACUUUCUUAGGACGCUUCUCCUGGGAUUGACAAGCUGUAAA
rnacentral:lncRNA from 1 species